rnacentral:rRNA from 1 species
UGCCUUACACAUGCAAGUCGAACGGCAGCACGGGGGCGAACCCUCGGUGGCGAGUGGCGGACGGGUGAGUAAAGCAUCGGAACGUAUCCUGGAGUGGGGGAGUAACGUAAGCGAAAGUUACGCUAAUACCGCAUAUUCUGUGAGCAGGAAAGCAGGGGAUCGCAAGACCUUGCGCUCUGGGAGCGGCCGAUGUCGGAUUAGCUAGUUGGUGGGGUAAAGGCCUACCAAGGCGACGAUCCGUAGCGGGUCUGAGAGGAUGAUCCGCCACACUGGGACUGAGACACGGCCCAGACUCCUACGGGAGGCAGCAGUGGGGAAUUUUUGGACAAUGGGCGCAAGCCUGAUCCAGCCAUGCCGCGUGAGUGAAGAAGGCCUUCGGGUUGUAAAGCUCUUUCGGCGGGGAAGAAAUUGCACGGGUUAAUACCCUGUGUAGAUGACGGUACCCGAAUAAGAAGCACCGGCUAACUACGUG